UAGGGAAUCUUCGGCAAUGGGGGGAACCCUGACCGAGCAACGCCGCGUGAGUGAAGAAGGUUUUCGGAUCGUAAAGCUCUGUUGUUAAGGAAGAACGAGUGUGAGAAUGGAAAGUUCAUACUGUGACGGUACUUAACCAGAAAGGGACGGCUAACUACGUGCCAGCAGCCGCGGUAAUACGUAGGUCCCGAGCGUUGUCCGGAUUUAUUGGGCGUAAAGCGAGCGCAGGCGGUUAGAUAAGUCUGAAGUUAAAGGCAGUGGCUCAACCAUUGUAGUCUUUGGAAACUGUUUAACUUGAGUGCAGAAGGGGAGAGUGGAAUUCCAUGUGUAGCGGUGAAAUGCGUAGAUAUAUGGAGGAACACCGGUGGCGAAAGCGGCUCUCUGGUCUGUAACUGACGCUGAGGCUCGAAAGCGUGGGGAGCGAACAGG
rnacentral:rRNA from 1 species